rnacentral:rRNA from 1 species
UUUCCGGUUGAUCCUGCCGGACCUGACUGCUAUCGGAUUGAUACUAAGCCAUGCGAGUCUUUGUAGUAAUACAAGGCAGACGGCUCAGUAACACGUAGUCAACCUACCCUAUGGACAAGAAUAAUCUCGGGAAACUGGGCAUAAUUCUUGAUAGAUCAUAAUGCCUGGAAUGGUUUAUGGUUAAAAUGAUUCGUCGCCAUAGGAUGGGACUGCGGCCUAUCAGCUUGUUGGUGAGGUAAUGGCCCACCAAGGCGAUUACAGGUACGGGCUCUGAGAGGAGAAGCCCGGAGAUGGGUACUGAGACACGGACCCAGGCCCUAUGGGGCGCAGCAGGCGAGAAAACUUUGCAAUGUGCGAAAGCACGACAAGGUUAAUCCGAGUGAUUUCUGCUAAAGAAAUCUUUUGCCAGUCAUAAAACCACUGGUGAAUAAGGGGUGGGCAAGUUCUGGUGUCAGCCGCCGCGGUAAAACCAGCACCUCAAGUGGUCAGGAUGAUUAUUGGGCCUAAAGCAUCCGUAGCCGGCUUUGUAAGUUUUCGGUUAAAUCCAUGUGCUCAACGCAUGGGCUGCCGAAAAUACUGCAUGGCUAGGGAGUGGGAGAGGUAGACGGUACUCAGUAGGAAGGGGUAAAAUCCUUUGAUCUAUUGAUGACCACCUGUGGCGAAGGCGGUCUACCAGAACACGUUCGACGGUGAGGGAUGAAAGCUGGGGGAGCAAACCGGAUUAGAUACCCGGGUAGUCCCAGCUGUAAACGAUGCAGACUCGAUGAUGCAUUGGCAUAAUAGCCAGUGCAGUGUCGCAGGGAAGCCGUUAAGUCUGCCGCCUGGGAAGUACGUACGCAAGUAUGAAACUUAAAGGAAUUGGCGGGGGAGCACCACAAGGGGUGAAGCCUGCGGUUCAAUUGGAGUCAACGCCGGAA